GUUCAAAUUCCCCAUUACCCUUUCUCCACUUCCACAUAUGUAAAAGAAGUGAGCAGGAGCAAUGCAUGAUGUGUUGGCAAUGGAUGCAGGGAGGAUGCUCUUGAGGCAAUGCCAGACAGAAAGAUCUGUGACUGGGGCCUGAAUACUUUGGAUAGCUUCUGGCAUUGUUGACCAAGCAGAGCUCCUAAAGAGGUUACAAUAAAAGAAAGAACCUUUCCUACUCACCCUAAAUGAGAGAAUGUGGCUAAGGAUCUUAUCAACCAUUGUCCUACCAUCUGCCCGAGUUGCCAGCUGCCUAAAGUGACCAAACGCCCUGUAUGAGGAGAACAGAAAACCAUUCCCCUCUUGAUGAUGAUGAGGAUCACACCAGUUAUUGAUCUGUCUCAAAUCUCCCUUUUUCAGGAUUAAUAAUUCGGAAGGGAGGAGGGGAAAUGAAGGUAAUUAAUUUGCUCUUU